rnacentral:lncRNA from 1 species
CUUGACUGGUGUGGUCUAAAAAUCUGGAAAAUUGAAAGCUCCCACUUUCCAUGCCUUGAGCGCCUUCGUCUUCGUGGACUAAAGAGGUUGCGGGAAAUCCCUUUAGAGUUCGCAGAAAUACCCACACUUAGAGAAAUUUUUGUGAAAGGGUGCAGUGAUUCGGCUGUGGUUUCUGUAAAAAGAAUAUCAGAGGAACACGAGGACUAUUACGGGGAAGGAGCCCUUCAAGUUCGCGUUGAGCUCUGGAGUGAGAACGAAGCAGGAGCGGAGAGCUUGGAUAGUCCUAACUAAUCACUACUACUAAGGUACACAAAAGAAAUUGUAGAUUUGGUUUAACUCUAGUUUUGAUUUGUAAAUUGUAAUACUCCAUUUGAGUGAUGGAACAAGUGUGCAGUGCAGGUACUCAGGUAGUGUGUGAGGAAAUUAAGCGCACACCACAGAAUGAAAUGAAUCCAUUGAUGCGUAUGCUCCUUUGUUUCUCUUUAUGUUUUGGCUUCUUUAUUUUGAAUUCUUUAUUCACUACCUUUUUUUCCGGCUAAUUCCACUUUUUCAUUGGCAGCAACCGAAAAACAAGUGGUAGAUAAAAAGAGAUGGCCAUAUAGUAUUCAUUUGGUUUUUGAGCUUCUAGUUUGGUUAAUUACUUGUGACAUUUUACUAUUUUUUGAGGCCUUAGUCAUUUUUUGACAAAGUCCGGUUGUAAUCUUUGACUUUUGCGUGUGGAUGUGGCUCGUUUUGUUUUCUUGUUCUUGGUUGUAAAUUUGUAAUAGACAAAUACUCUUUUCCUUUUUACGGAGUUUUUCCCACUGGAUUUUCUUCAAAUAGGUUUUGACAAGUCUCAUCCUUUAGUAAGCUGUUUUGUGCUCUUAAGGG